rnacentral:ncRNA from 1 species
UCUGUGGAUCGUUAUAUCAAAUGAGAGUAGUUAGUAAUAUUACAACAAAAUCAGACGGAAUGAAGCAGAAA